UGUACCUCAGCAAACACCAACACCACUACCACCAGCACCACCAUCACGCAUUCACAAAAAGGAAGAAGUGAGAAAAUUUUUUUUUCUUCGCCUGUUCAGUAGCACGCACACACACGAAACGAACAAGCUCCUUUACAUCAGCCUCUUUAAACAGGAAAGGAAGACGAGGAAAAACAAAGGAAAUUGCAUAUAUCUACACACACACACACACCAAUAUAAUAUAUACAUACAUAUAUAUAUAUAUAUUAUAUUAUAUAUUAUAUCCGCUUUAGCAAACCAAGUAACCAAAGGUCCAAGACAAGAAAGACGGCAAGUCUCUUUGCUGUCCGCUCUCAAGUUUUGUACUCCCUUGUCUUUUUUUUAUUUCUUUAUUAUUUAUUUAUUUAUUUUUAUAUUGUGUCUCACCUUUAUUUCUUCUCUGAUUUCAUUUUUUUUUUCUCCUUUCCCAUCUUCCCAGAGCCUUCUUCUCGCUGUCUCUGUCUCUGUCUGUAUGUGUGUUUUGUGAGCCUCCGUCUACCCCCGCCCUUCACGUCAUUUUGGGGGUCACCUACACAACAACAACCCCUCCCCCGUACCACUUUUUUUUUAUGUUAUCUUUUUAUUUUUUGUCGCUCCUCUCCCCCCGCCCCCUUCCUCAAAGAGGCUGACACACCCACACGCAUACACACACCGAGUGCCGCGAGUAGGAAGGUAUCGAGUCGAGGCUAGCGAACUGCGACAAGGAAAUCAGAGGGAAAAAAGACUUAGGGAAGAAAGUAAAGGGUACGCUAUAGAAGAAUAAGCGCUGCCCGUGUAGCACAUACUGCAGCCCUUUCCAUCCAGGGACACGAAUAGGAGAGAGCGAACACGCACCAAAAAAGGAGUAGCUGGACAAGAACGCGGCUCCACCUUUUCGUUCUUUUUUUUUCCCUUGUUUCUGUGUGUUUGGUCUCUUUCUCUGUUUCGCUCGCCCGGUUCUUAGUGUUAUCCACCACCACUGUGAUGCAGUUUGCGGAAGCAAACACCCAGCAAAGUUCUACCCCUCCUUCUCCCCCUCCCCGCCAUUGUGUUCUCCAGCUUCUCUCUCUCUCUGGUUUCUUUAACAGACGAGGGCCUUCUCCCCCUUCCUUUUUAUUUGUUGUUGGUCGUGCUUCGCUCUUGCCCGCUUUCGUUCCGCUCCUCGCAUAUCUGAGUAAGCCCCCCUCCCUCUCGUCUACCUCCCCCCUCCCCCCACUCCCCCGAUCCUUACUGGAUACCUUCGCUUCACUGCUGCUGCCGUUGCUGCCCUCGCAGGUAUUUCCCACCCACGUCAUUCCUUUUUUUUUCAUCUUUAUUCUUGAAUCUUGUCUUGCCAAGAGCGUCACAGAGAAGAAAAAAAGACAAAACAAAAGGAGGAACGCACCACACUUUAUUCCUUUUUCUUUUUCCGUAUUCGUGCCACUCACUUACCUUUUCCUCGCAAGUCUUUAGCAGCAGUUCUCCCUCUCGGCCUCUUCGCCGUCUUUCAGCAUCCCUCAGCAUCUCUCCUUGCUUUCCAUAGCCUCCAUCUAAAGAUUGACCACGUCUGUCUCUGUCUGUGUGUCUCUCUUUCUGCCUCUCUUUUCAAUUCUUUUCGCUCCCUCCUCCCUCCUCCCUCCUCCCCCUCCCCCUCCCCCUCCCCCGCUCUCCGUCGACGAUUGUUGUGCCUCUGCCAUUAUUAGCAAUAAACUUUCGCGCGCCAUCCUGAAUCGGUACACUUUGUUCAAGCAGCUGCUUUUUGUGUGUGUGUGUGUGUGUGCGCGUGCGCCCGGCUUUACACAUCAGCACGUCUUGACCGCUUCUGCUACGUUUUGCUUUUCUUUUCUUUUUUUUUUUGGACUAUUUCUUUCUUGUGUGCUUGCGCGUCUCCUUCUGUGUUCUCCUUUCCGCUAUCUCUAACGCCGUCGUUGGGUGCGCCCUCUUUUUGCUUUUUUUUCAGCUUUCUCGUGUGUGCGCGCUGUGCGUGCGAGCGUGUGCGAGGGUGUUUGUGUGUGUGCAUGUGCGACGUCAACGUUGUUUUCUCUUGCUCUUGGUCUUCGCGUAUGUGCUACACACACACCCACAUACACGCACCUCUUUAUCUGUCUGGUACUGACCCCUUCUAUUCCUACCCCCUUCUCUUUCCGCUUUUCUCCAGACAAUAAGCACCAUCAUCACACGCCCCCACCCCACCCCUUUCCUUGGCGGAGUGUCUCUCUAUUCCUCACUGUCUUCUUUUGUUUUGGUUUAUUAUCUCUUUGUUCCCAGUCGAUUUUUUCUUUCUGUUGUUGGAUUUCCCCCGUCUCUUUCCUCCUUUCUUCCUCGGUGUUACUCCCUCCCCUCUUCUUCUGUUUCUGUGUGCCACCGCAUCUCUUUUCUCUCUCUCUCUGUGUGUGCUCGCACUCUUUCGGUUUGUAUUUUGGCUUCUUUCUUUUUCUCUUCUUUGCGGCUACACUUCUCUUGCCCCUCUUCCUCCUUUCCUUUCUUUGCCUUCUUCCUUGAAUUUGUCUGUCUCUCUCUCUCUCUGCCUGUCUGUGUGAGUCUGUGUGCCUCUUUCUCUCCUCCGCUUUCGUGGCUCUCUUGUUUUGUUUUUCCCUUGCCCUUUUCGCCCUCCUCGUCUUCCUUCUGCCAUCCACGUCCUUGCCGCUUUCUUUUCGUUCCGGUCUCUUCCUACCGUGUCCUUCACACCCUCCCUCCUUCCCCUCACGCACUGUCCUCCUCUCGUGACUUUUGUCCUUUGCCGGGGGCCGCCUUCCCACUUUUUUUUCGUCUGCUUGUUCUUAUCGUUGGGGUGCUUGUGCCCGGAGGUGUAUGCGCGCGUGUGUGCAUGUAUUAGCUUCCCUCAUUCUCUGUGAGCUCAAGCGCAUUUUCUGUUUGUAUUUUCGCCCCUGUUCCCUUUACGUGCAUGUUGUAAUCUUUACUUCUCUUCUGCGGUUGCCCGGCCCCAUUCGACCACCGACUUUCCGUUUCGUUUUUUCGUGCGCGCGUGCGUGUGCGUGUGCGUGUGUGUGAGAUUUCUUCUUUUUUUUUGCUCGGAUCUCUUCACCUGCCGAUCUUCCGGCCUCCUCUCUCUUGCCCCAUCGUUUUUUCGAUCCAGGCCAUCCCCGCUUCGCUCUCUCGCGCUUGUCUCUGUCGCCUUGACCUGUCUCAUCCACCUCUCUUGCUGUCUUAUCCUGGACUGUGACCCCUCUCCCCCCUCCACACAGCCCCUCUACCUCUUCCUCAGCUCUUCCACGGUUCAGAAUGGCAGACAGCUCUAGCGAUGGUCCUACCUCGCCCAGCUGGCCGCUGUACAUGAUGAUGCCCGGUCAAGCCGCUAGCGCUGAUUCCUUCUGCAAAUACCACAGCGGAGGCGCGGCGUCAUCCGCUGUGACCCCGUCCGUUGGCGCUGCGGGAGCGGCAGGCAGCAUGAGCACCUCUCUGAACGGCGCCCCCGGCCAGCCGGCGAGCGUUGUGCCCCUCGGCGGGGCCGGCUCCUUCUAUUUCUCGUUCUGCGGCACGGACGGGCUCAUGAUUGGCGACACAGCUGACGCGAACCUGAGCACCACCUACGCCAACACCGUUACGACCCCAACCUUCAGCGCAAGCAAUACCGCCGCCAAUAGCCGAGCCGCAAGCCUUACCACCCCUGGUACCACUGUGGCGAGCGCAAUGCAGCUGGCGGCGGCAAAUCUCGAGUACUUCUACGGCAUCCCCACCCCAAGCGCGCCGAAUCGCGCCGACUACGCGGCAUCCAGCGCCGCGAGCAACUGCAGCAGCACCAGCGAUCACCACGUGAGCGAACGAGGCACGGCGCCGCCGCCGCCGCCGCCGAUGAGCACUGGCGCGCAACAGCUCGCGAACAACGCGCCACCGCAGGGCGGGGUGCAGAAGGAUGUGCUGGCGCUCAUGGCCGCCGAGCAACAGCAGCAGAAGUUUGUGCUGCAGCAACGCAACGUCUAUAUGUCGGGAUUACCAGUCAACUUCCGCCCCUCUGCCUUCCGCGCGAUGUGCGGGGUCUUUGGCCGCAUCGAGUCCUCGAAGCUCUGCAUGGAGGCGGAUGACUCCAGCCGUUGUCGCGGAUUCGGCUUUGUGCUGUUCUACGACGUGGAAAGCGCCAACUCGUGCAUCUCAUCUCUGAACGGAAAGAUGAUGCAGGGCCGCACGCUGCAGGUGCGCCGCGCCGACCUCUCCGCCGCGCCGCAGCCGCUGCACCCGGUGACGCAGCGCAACCGCACUGGCUCUGGUCUGGUGACUCCGCCGACGCUGGGGCAGCAGACGGCACCAACCGAGAUGCCGUCCGCAUCAGCGGCCGCCGCCUUCCCUCUCUACAGUCCGCACCCGCCCACUGUUGGCCAGUCCAGCGUGAAACCGGUUGUCAUGUCUGCGGUGCCCUUCACCUUCGCGACUUCGACUGGCGUCGCACCACCGCCCGGAUCGAUCGUUCACAAUUCGGCGCCGACCAAGGCCUCUUUCCCGCUUGGCACCAACGGAUCGGCUUCCAGCUCACUUGGCGCCACCUCGACACCGACAGUGGUUUACGCCUCAAACAGCACGAUGCUCUCCACCAUGCGAGGGGGUGUACCUGUAAUGCAACUCUUCACAGCGGUCCCACCGGGUAGCGCUCCCGCGAUGGGCCCCCAGCCGCCCUCGGUGAUGUCGCACACGUCACUCAGCAGCCGCGAUGGCGCUACCCCGCACACCGAAACCCCCUCGAGUGUGGCAAGCUCCAGCGCACCGAUCGGCUUCUCCGCCUCCCAGCACCUCAUCCACCUCCAGGCGCCGACUGCGCAGCAGCCACAACAGAAUCUGCCGCAGCACUCCAUCCAGUUCAAGCCGCAGCCUCCGAUGCACCCACCCGCGCAGCCACAGCGACCGAUGAGCGUCUGCACAAACGUUGCAAUUUACCGCCCACUCGAAGCGGCCUCGAGUGCCGGCAACCUUAACCUCAACCCAAGCGCUGGUGGCAGCGCGAUGGCGAGCGCUUACAGCGCUAACGGCAACGUUCUGCAGGACUACCUCAUGGGCGCGGACCUGAACGCGUCCUCCUCCAAUGUCUUCUACUUUAUCUCCCCGCCGUAGUGCGUGCAAAACGAGCAACAAUGCACACACACACCGCUCAGCGCGUGGUAUGGCAGGCUCCAGUGGCCCCCGCUCCGUGUGUGCGUGUGUGUGUGUGGGGGGGGGGAGCCAUACAGGCCCCCGCUAUCCGCUGCCAAUGCCGAGCCACCUUCCGGUGUUGGCAGGGUUGAGUACCCACGACGUAGGGAAGUCAUAGCGAUGUAGCGCUGAUGAUGUCGGCAGUUGUGUUCCGGGUGGCGCUGCGUCGGAGCGGCCUGCAACCGCGUACACGUCUGCGCCAUCCAUAUGAUGGACAGCGUGUCAGCGUGACUCGAGCGUAUUCCACCCCCGGCCCUCUCGCUACCUACCAGUGUGUGGAGCAUGCGUGGCCCUCCCGGGGGGCGCGCGCCAGGUCGGGACCGGCACAAUGGGAGCGGCUGUGAGGCGACCUGCGGGGCGGCGGGUGGGUGGGGUGGCGUUCGGGGCAGAGACCGCGCUCAGAUAGCUGAGGCGGAAUACCUGUAGCGCGUGUGUCUAGGACUGCAUUGCACGACGCGGAUGGGGAGGGGCCUGUCACAGGCCGGGAGGGGGGCGCUCGAGCGUGGAGUUGGUCUGAUGCUCUGUGGAAGGAUGGACGCGUUGAAGCCGAAAACGAUGGGUUACGUGUGUUUCAGUAGAGGAUGAGCUUGCUUUGCAGUACAGCAGAUGAUCGUGCUGCUUUUUGAAUGCUGUGUGUUGUUGGCACGCUUCUCAUCGUCUCCCUUCUAGGCUCAUAUGCUACCCUGCAUGUGCGUAUGUAUGUGUCUCUGCCUGCUGCUGUUCUUCCUUGUGUCGGUUCUUUGCUGUUCCUCCUCGAUGGAGAUAGCGUCUGCUCCUUUCUUUCGCCUUGCUCGACGCUUCCUUUUAACGCGUGCCCUGCUCUCGUUUUCUCAUCCUCCCCCCAUCGUGAACCCUUAUCUCCUUUCUUCUUUUUACGAGGUGCUUUUCCCCUGUUCUCACUGCCGCGUUGCCAUUGUGGUCGUCGUGGCUUCUAUUUCUCCUUUCUUCCUGGUUUAGCUUGCUGAUGAUACAGUGCCUCUGCGCAGGUGCGCUACGGCCGUCUUUGAUGCGGCGGGAUGCAGAGAGAGGCGAAGAGCUUCUUGAUUGUUCCUCUCUUCGUCUUUCACGCAUGCUUUACACGCAGAAAAUGUACGCCCGUAAUACCUCCUGUUGUGCUUCAUUGUAGUGUAAACCUUUUAUUUUUUUCCCGGUUUCGCGUUUUUGUUGUCGUGGUAACGCGUGUCUUUACUGGUUAGUUUUUUUCAUGUUUGUUUUUGAAGUCUUUCUGCUGUGGUCUGCCUCCUUCUCGUUCCCCCCACGGCCAUUGCGCGCAACGCGAAUCCGCGUUGCUGCUUCUCUCGUUGCGUAUUUUCCUUUGGAUUUUUUGCUUUUUUUUCGUCCCAGCUGGAUACAUGCAGGUGCACUUUUCUUUCAGUGUUCGCCUCAGUGUUUCACCGCGUGCUGCACCCGCUCCUCCCGCUGUUUUUUUUCUGUUUUUUAGCCUUUCGUUGUUGAUGUGCCCCUCUCUUUCUCCCUGUGUGUGUGUUUAAAAUGUUUUGUGGCUUCUGUGUUUUGGCCGUGUGUGCCUUUAUAGCCCUAUCGUCGAUUCACUGGUUUACUGAUGUCGUUGUGGGCGACUUUACUCCACAUUUUUUUUCUUCACGUUCUUGGCAGGCGUAGGUUUUAUACGUAUGUAUAUGUAUAUCUGUUUGCGCGCACACCCUUACCCCCUCGGUUUCCGGCUCACUUAUCGGAGUGUAUCAAUAUCAAAUCUAUGUAUAUCUAUCUAUAUACGUGUAUGUGUGUAUGUGUAUGUGUAUGCGUAUGUGCCUCUUGCUUCCUUCUUAUUUGUGCCAGCCACGCACCGCAUCUCUCUGCCCGCCCGCCUGCUUGUCGCCGUAUCUCUCUUUUUUUAUUAUCUGCGUUUUUUGCUUGUAUUUCUUUUUCUUCAUUUUUAUGUUGUCUCCGUUAGCCGUAGUGCAACCAGAGUUUGGAGGGCUGUAGUUGUAUGCGUAUGUCUGCUGGUGUGUGCUUGUGUGUGUGCGUGUGUUUUAUUAUAUUUUUUCCGUUUCCCCUGAGGGCGAAUGAAACGCUACUAAUAACAACAACACCCUUCCCCCUCCUCCUCCCCUCCCCCAACAACACAAAAAAAACAGUGCACAUGGCAUUGCGUUCAACUCUCUAUUUUGAAUGUAAGUGUGUGGUGUGCUCUGUCUCUUCGCGGAUCGUAGUUCUCUCUCCAUGGCCAGGCGCCUGUGUGGAGUUUCGCGUUCCGCUCAUGUCUUUCUUUUUUUUUUCUUCGGGUUUCGGUCUGGAUAAAAAAACGAAAGGCACUUAGCCGUGGAGGUGAAUGAGUGCUCUGAUGUGGCGUUGACAACCUCAACGCGCCGGACAGCAGACCCCCCCCCCCUCCCCCACACACACACACACACCCAAUCCCUUCCGGCUCUUUCAGGACAACAAGAACAGAAAAAAACAAGAAUCGCUCAAUCAUGCUAAAGAUGGGCGUUCUCUCUCACUGUGGAUGCGCGCACGGGCCCACUUUGUGUACGCCUUUUUGUGCAUCCUCGUCCCUUUUUCUCUUGGUUCUUUAGCGACUAAUCCUAAACCCAUCAUGGUGUGCGCGUGUGUGUGCUUGUCAGCGCAUGUGUGCGCAUCGUCGGGUGUGUGUGUGUGUGUGUGUACUGCCCGAGCAAUACUAAAAGAACGCGCAGGUACAGUGCACCUUUACGACGUGGUGGCACUCCUCACUGGCCCUCCUCUCAGCUCUCCCCCCAACCCUGCGAGGUGGGGGAUCCGGUCAGCGAGGCGACAGCAGCCGGUAUGGCAAACACAAACGGCAGCAGCAUAAAAUGCACACACUCAGUAUGUGUAGGCAUUUUAUUUUUGAUUGUUCUUGAAAAUUUAGCGGUGCAGCUGGUGUUUUUGACGCUGCUGCUUUUCGCAUUUUUCUUUCUAUUCGUUGGGAUUCUCGUGUUGUAGGUCUGUCCUCUCUCUUUCCACUUACCAUUUUUAUUUUUACUCUCCUCCCCUUUUAUGAAGGUCCUUCUCCGCAAACGAAUACGUUACAAAACUCAUCAAAAAAAAUCGAACACACGGGAUCGCGAGAGCGACAGAUAGAGAACACACACGCGCACACACGUGCGUAUGUGCGUGCGAAAAGAAGGCCUUUGCAGAGUACAGGUGGUGGGGAGAUGAAAGCGAAACCAAAACAAACAGCAAGAAGGAAGGAGAGGAAGGGAAGGAAAAACAAACACGUGACACGAUAAAUCAGGUGGACAGAGGCCGCUUUUAUGCUGUUGGGUUGGGUUGUGCGUUUGGUUGUUUUAUGCUUUACCUUUGUUUUUUUUUUCCUUCGCUUGAUUUGGCUGGUGUCUUUUUUUUUCCUCUUUCAAGGCGCGCCUCAAUCCACAUGGACGCUCAACACGCUCACGCACACCACACGAAAAAAAAAAAGACAAAGAACAUGCGAACAACGCGUCUACUUCCGUAAUGUUCUGACGUGCAGACCAACAUCAAACACGAAUCCAAGAAAACGAAAAAGGAGAAGAUCGUGGAAAGGAAGGCAAUAAUAAUAAUAAAGGAAAAAAAGAACAAAACAACAAAACAAAGGAAACACAUACGCACACGUACAGACGCACAGCAGUAUCGGUACUUCUCUUAUUCUUCCCCCCAUCUAUUAGCGUAAUACGGACAACCAUAACGAAGAAACAAAAAAGUCCUCAAUCCGCUUCACGUAGAGCACUUUCCUCCUCUUCUCCGCUCACCACCCUCCCUACCCCCACACACAUCCAUACUAGAGCAAACGAAAGAGGAGAGAUGGAAAGAUGCGACAAGGACGGGCACAUGUGUGCAACACCUUCUUCCCCUAGCCCUUACCCCUCCCGCCCGUUUCUAUCACGUGUGUGUGUAUCCCACCGUUAUUCGUUUUUUUUUCUCGGUUUCUUUUUUAAUUUGCCGUUGUUUGUUUGUCUCUAUUCGUUGACUCGUCCCACCGCUUCAUUCCUCAGCGCCUUGUCUCGAAACGGAACAACAACAGCAACAAACAAAGAAUAUUGCGCCUCAAGACACCUUCCCACUCUUUUCCUCUCGCUCUCUCCCUCCCUCCUUGUUCUCUCUUGGACUUACCCACGUAUCCGCGAGGGCACCCACACGUGACGACACGCGCGAGUGUGUGCCGCUGUGCCCUUUGGCCCUCUUGUUUUCUCUCUCCUUUUAUUGUCUUUUCACUUGAAUGUUGGAGGUGAAGGCUGUCGCGGAUGGGAAGGGGAGGAGGAGGAGGGGCAGGGCGGCGCCCAGCACAGCGACACGUGCUCCGAGCUCCCAACCCCCCUCCCGGACGUGGAUCUCCCUCUUUAAGUUAUCACUGUCUGCACACUUCCUUUCUUGCUGACAUGCUCUAUGGUUGUUGUGCUUCUUCUGUGUUACGUGUAUGUGUUUCUCCGACGCUCCUGUUCUCAUUUUUUUUUUUUUUACGCUGUUAGUCUACUUCGUUUUUUUUUUGUCUUCGCCUUCUGUACGCUUAAUUUCUCUUGUGCCUGCUCUCUUUGUAUUGUUGUUCACCUCGACUCUCUCUUGUCUCCCCUCCUUCCGUUUUUUGUUUUCUGUCGUUUUUUUUUUGUCGUUGUUGUGUACGUCUUCACGCCUUGUUGUCGUUUUGUUGUGCCUGUUCUCGUCCUGCUCAUGUUCUCUCUUCCACAUGUCGUUCUUUCUCUUUCCUUUUUGUUUCUGUCUCCGAUUGCGUUUGUGUGCGUGCGUGUCUCUCUUUUAUCGCCAUUUCUUCCCCUUGUUGCUCUUUCUCCCCUCUCUUUUUUUUUUACUGUCUCCUUUCAUGUGUGCUCGUCUCUCCUGUUCGCUUUUUUUUUUUGUUUUGCCUCGGUCAGUUUUGGCGCUCACCUCUAGUAUUCAUUUCUUUACUGUUAUUAUUCUUUUUUUCUUUUUUUUUUGUAUUCUUGCUCGUGAAUUUGCUUUCUCUCUUGCGCUGGUCUUUUGAUUUUCUUUAUUGUGCUGUUUCGCUUUUCAGUUUUCUUUUUCUUUCGUUGCUUUAUCGAUUUCGUCCCUCUUUUCUCUUGUCUUCUGGUGCUUAUUUGUGAUGUUGAAGCGCGUAUCAAGUAACACGUAACAUAGCCUCGGCUUUUCCCUUCUCUCUCUUCCCCCCUCUUAUUUCAUGUGUGUGUGUGUGUCUCGCCUUCUUGUCGUUCUUGCUGCUAAGGAAAAAGGAAAGAAACAUAGAGUUUGUUUUUACCCUCUUUUUUUUCCUUUUGCGUGUUUACAUCUUUUGGUUUCGUCUUCGCCCGCGCAUGUGUGUGUGUGUGCGUGCGUGUGGAGGUCUUGACCCUUUCCCCCUCCUCCCCACCCCCACCCCCAUCCUCUUCCUUUUUCACCUCCUUCUUUCCGCACCUCCCUCUCCCUCCUCCCCCGCUAACGACGAAGAAAACGCACAGCCACACACACACGCACACAUGAAGAAGUCCUACGUUCCUCCCUCUUUGUCGGUGUGUCUCCUCUCUCUCUCUUGUGUCUUCUGACUUGCCGCCUCUGCGACUACUUCUCCUUCCUCUUUCUUUCUUUCCCCUCGAUUUUUCGUUUUUUUCUUUUACGUUCUUGCUCCUUUGGGUUCAAGGCUUGCCUGUCUCGUGUGCGUGUGUGUGGCUGUGCGUCGGUGUCGGGCUGUGACCUGUUUUUUUUUUCUGGUUCGUCUUGGUUCCGCAAAGACCAAAAAAACAAAAGAAAGAAACACACAAGAAUGCUGCGCGUCCACUCGAUGUGUGCAUUCCUACCCCCUCCUCCCCCGUCGGUUCGCUAGUCCUUCGCACAGUCUUGUCUCUGUCUGUCUCCUUUUUUUUCUUGUCUCGGCUUCUCCGCUCCUUUCCUUUUCCAG
rnacentral:misc_RNA from 1 species